UACGUAGGUGGCAAGCGUUGUCCGGAUUUAUUGGGUUUAAAGGGUGCGUAGGCGGCCCUGUAAGUCAGUGCUGAAAUAUCCCGGCUUAACCGGGAGGGUGGCAUUGAUACUGCGGGGCUAGAGUACAGAUGAGGUAGGCGGAAUUGACGGUGUAGCGGUGAAAUGCUUAGAUAUCGUCAAGAACACCGAUAGCGAAGGCAGCUUACUGGGACGGUACUGACGCUGAGACGCGAAAGCGUGGGGAGCGAACAGG
rnacentral:rRNA from 1 species